AGAUCAUUUCAAAGACAUCUUCUGUGCCUGUGAAACCAGAAGCUCUUAAAACUAUAAUCAAAGAUUGAAGUUCCCCAUGGGAUGCCACGGUAACUCAGUAGUACUAUGUUUUCCUGAGGAGACAUAAGA